GCUGUGAUGGCUGAGUGGUUAAGGCGUUGGACUUGAAAUCCAAUGGGGUUUCCCUUUGUAGGUUAAACCCUACUCACAGCG
rnacentral:tRNA from 1 species